rnacentral:rRNA from 1 species
GUGGGGAAUUUUGGACAAUGGGCGCAAGCCUGAUCCAGCAAUGCCGCGUGCAGGAAGAAGGCCUUCGGGUUGUAAACUGCUUUUGUACGGAACGAAACGGUCCUGGUUAAUACCCGGGGCUAAUGACGGUACCGUAAGAAUAAGCACCGGCUAACUACGUGCCAGCAGCCGCGGUAAUACGUAGGGUGCAAGCGUUAAUCGGAAUUACUGGGCGUAAAGCGUGCGCAGGCGGUGCUGUAAGACAGGCGUGAAAUCCCCGGGCUUAACCUGGGAAUUGCGCUUGUGACUGCAGUGCUGGAGUGCGGCAGAGGGGGAUGGAAUUCCGCGUGUAGCAGUGAAAUGCGUAGAUAUGCGGAGGAACACCGAUGGCGAAGGCAAUCCCCUGGGCCUGCACUGACGCUCAUGCACGAAAGCGUGGGGAGCAAACAGGAUUAGAAACCCGGGUAGUCC